AGUCGAGCGAGUCUGCCUUGAAGAUCGGAGUGCUUGCACUCUGUGAAACAAGAUACAGGCUAGCGGCGGACGGGUGAGUAACACGUGGGUAACCUGCCCAAGAGAUCGGGAUAACACCUGGAAACAGAUGCUAAUACCGGAUAACAACAGAUGAUGCCUAUCAACUGUUUAAAAGAUGGUUCUGCUAUCACUCUUGGAUGGACCUGCGGUGCAUUAGCUAGUUGGUAGGGUAACGGCCUACCAAGGCGAUGAUGCAUAGCCGAGUUGAGAGACUGAUCGGCCACAUUGGGACUGAGACACGGCCCAAACUCCUACGGGAGGCAGCAGUAGGGAAUCUUCCACAACGGACGCAAGUCUGAUGGAGCAACGCCGCGUGAGUGAAGAAGGGUUUCGGCUCGUAAAGCUCUGUUGUUGGUGAAGAAGGACAGGGGUAGUAACUGACCUUUGUUUGACGGUAAUCAAUUAGAAAGUCACGGCUAACUACGUGCCAGCAGCCGCGGUAAUACGUAGGUGGCAAGCGUUGUCCGGAUUUAUUGGGCGUAAAGCGAGUGCAGGCGGCUCGAUAAGUCUGAUGUGGAAGCCUUCGGCUCAACCGGAGAAUUGCAUCAGAAACUGUCGAGCUUGAGUACAGAAGAGGAGAGUGGAACUCCAUGUGUAGCGGUGAAAUGCGUAGAUAUAUGGAAGAACACCGGUGGCGAAGGCGGCUCUCUGGUCUGUUACUGACGCU
rnacentral:rRNA from 1 species